rnacentral:tRNA from 1 species
GGAGGGUUACCCAAGUUGGUGAAGGGGCGGGUUUGCUAAACCCGUAGGUCCUUAGGGGCACGCGAGUUCGAGCCUCGCACCCUCCG